GGAGGCGUGGUGUAGUGGCCUAACAUGCUGCCCUGUCAAGGCAGAGAUCGCGGGUUCGAAUCCCGUCGCUUCCGCCA
rnacentral:tRNA from 1 species